CGGAUAAAGUGGUGUAUGGAAUCUACGAGUGGUUUAGUUCCCAGUAAAACACUCUUCUCCAUAUAAUAAUGUAGGAUAUUGACUAUUUCUGGACUCUUUUCUAACAAUCUUUUAUUAAAAAGAUUCGAAACUUUUCCAGCCAUUUCGUCUCCCAGUGCUCUUGCCACGGUAUAGGCUUAAUUCUUAUUAAUUAGAGGUUCAAGUUGUAAUAACCAUUAUAAAGACACCCUUUUUCGCUUUAUAUUUUGCAGACGCUUUGCUUAAUAAAAUACUUUGUUUUUGCUUUAUUGCCUGACUCCCUUUCUUUUUGUUAUCAAUCUUUGUAUGUGUCAAAUAGCAUGGUUUAAGUUUGGAGGGGAUGGUGAGACUCUAUCUUUUUAGUUUCAGAGCCAAUUAGUUAGGUUUCGACCGGUUGAAAGAGGUAGACAAAAUCUCUGAGUGGUGGUGUGUGACAAUGCUAUGUCACGCAGAGGCACAAAUGUCACGCAGAUGCAAUAACCUUACAGUUUGCUGGACUCCGAAGCAAGCGGUGUGUAUUGAGCUCGUUGUAAUACUUUAGCGUGUCACUUACCUCCCACGCGCCUCUCUCCACGCAAGAAUCACGGUGAUUUUUUCCUCCCAUAGCAUAGCGUCCUUUUGGUCUCCUUACCAAGCGGCCCGCCGAUGGCGUCGCUUGUUUGUGCUCAAAAUAAUGUUGCUUUCAAAAGACCCUCGUUGUUGGUUACGAGAACCAAUAUGAUUAUAUUUAGCCCUCAUAUAAUAGCCCAAACUUCCAGCUACGGAUUUCUAAUAGUUUCGAUCGCAUAUAUUUCCGCUAGAGACGGAUAAUGACAUCUGUUUAACGCCCACUCGGAAGUAAAUCCGGACUAAACCGUCUUUUUCCGGGGUAGGGACAGUUUCCCCCUAUUAGCGUUUCUUUUUAAUUUCGGGACCCAUCCAUAGGAUUGUUUGUGAGAGCGGAAAGACUAUAUCGUGGAGGAAAUUGCGAAUUUCUCCAGUAUAUUUACUUUUUGUAACCUCCCUAAUGUGAAAUCAAAAGGCUUUGUCGAUGUAUUUCGCCCUCACUUGUUCUGACUUUGGGAGCAGAAAGCUAUAAAUUAGUUCGUUUAAACUCAGAGUUUAUCGGGUACUAAAAGCUUCUUGUUGGCCGCCAUAUUGGAUUCAUCACUGGCAUCGGCCAUUCAUACAGUACCACAGUGAAAGGACCUUUUACUAGCGAUUUCUCAUAUGGACCGUAUGAAGGGAAUGAGAGUCGAAGACGGUCGAGCCGGGAAAAAGCAAAAAGUGCAGCAAGCCCAAUGCUCACCCUGGACGCCGUGAUUGGAAGAGAGUUUUUUUUUCAUGAGUUUUGGAAAAGUUCAACUUCACAUGUAGCUUUGAAAAGGAAGGGACAAUUAAAUGAAGAAAACAGGAAAAUCGAAGAAAAACUUCACACUAAAAAGGCUCACCUGGAUGAAACUGACAAACAAGUACAAACCUCGGUAGCUCAACAUGAUGCAGCUGAGGGGGAACUUGAAAGGCUUGAAAGAAGUGUGAAAGAAAAGACAGUCCAAGUUCAGCAGCAAGAGGAGAGAGAGUUAAUGAAUUAAAUGAGCAGUACAACAAAUUUAAAUCUUAACUUGAGCAAAAAGGGUUUUCUGUCAGUAGGAGACAAAAUACUAGUACAACUUAUGAGAUGAGCACAAAUGUCAAUUCUAUUAUUAGAUAUAGAAGAAGACACAAAACCAAAACUGUCUUAGAAUUUAUGCAUGUAGGAAAAGAACAAUCACUAUAUGGGGCUUGGGAUUAUGUGCCAUCUACUGCUGACAAUCAAACCAUGUAUAUGCUGAUUUCAGGGCUCAACUGGCAAAAAUAUAUCCAAAGCUUGUUUGACAAGACAAUGGAGUAGUAUCAAAAUUCAGUAGAGGCCUUGAAGUGAGCUGUGCUUAUGAAGUAUCAAAACUUUUUGUUUAGACAAAAGUAUGCCCUUGUCUGUAAAGCUCAAUCGUCAGUUUUUGAUCCCAAUUCUGAACUCUUGGUGCCUUGCAACAUGCAUGUAUAAGUAUUUCUGAUAAGCGGGUGGAAAUUUUUGUGAGGAGUCUUGACAUUGGCCUAGUCAAUUAAAUCCCCAAUGCACUGGCUGUUUCUAGAGUAAUAACUGUGAUGGUAUAUAUGCUAACUGAUUUGCACUUGAGACUUCCUCAUUUGUCACGUAAACUCACUUGGUGAGUUCAAGGAAAGCACAUAUCAUUUCAUGUUUCAAUUUUCUGAUGAUGGGGCUCCUGAAUCCAGCCAACUUAAACUAUGUCAGUAGGAAGUCUGACAUGCUGGAACUUUGGGGAUAGGGUAGGAAAUAGGGACUUUCAAGGUAUUUUACAGUGUGUCAGUUUGGGGGAGAAACAAGAAAUACUUAAAAUAAGUAUUUGGAAGCAACAUACUGAUGAAAUGGAAAUGUUAGAGGGUAAUGCUUUUAAUGUUUGUGACAGGUUAUGUACUUUAGAGUUUCAACCACGUGCUGAUAUGAGCUGGCAGAGCUGGGCUAAUAAUGAAUUAAAUCAAGCUGCUACUCAUCCUUCUCCUUAUGCUAAUGUUAGCAAAGGAAACAUGUGUAGCAUGAGUGCUACAGUUGGGUUGAGGGAAGAAGAUUUACUUAAACCAUAUACACUGGAAAUUAUGAAAUCUCAUGUUAACAGGGUUGAAAAUUUCAUGAAUGCACUGUUGUCUAAUUUGUCUGAGAAAAAUCGUCAUGCAAGAACACUAAAGUUCAUAGCAGAAAGUGGGAUAUGGCAGCUAGGUCCACCCUGGACUGGUAUUUUUACAGACUGACUGAGUGGCUGGAGCUUGUCCACCGUGAAAUUAAUAAUUACCCAAUGACUUCUAAAUUAAAACUUGCACCAAUUCACUAAGUUUCACAAGCUGUUUAAAUGUUUGAAAUCAAUUCCUUUAAUGCCUGCUCUAAAACAAAGACAGUGACGUUAGAAAAUCUUCGCCCUUAUAAAAUUUAGCUGAUGUAUUACUGCGACAUAGACUUGCAAUGAGUCAAGGAUAAGGUUCGAAAUACCGUGCUAGCACAAGACUCUCUCACUCUAUUGCUCUAUUUGCAGACCUGCCUAAACCUGCGUUAUCUUGCGUCCCAUGGCCAAGAAUACCUGUGCUGUAGUGGAGCUCGGG
rnacentral:lncRNA from 1 species